AUCCUCCUGAAUGCACCAGAUUGCAAUCAUCACAAACUUCUCCACAUUCUUGAUGUCUUGCAUUGCCUCCUCAUCAUUCUGCAUUAGCAAAUUCACUUCCCCUGCUUUGUAGCAAUCAUAAGACCAGUCGGCCAGUACCAUCUCAUUUUCAUCCUUUACCUCUGGUUCAAAAUUUUUCCUGCAACAGAUAAGCUCUAGCAGCAGAAUGCCAAAACUGUAGACAUCAACCUUGACAGUAACAGGCAGGUUCUUAAACCAUUCAGGGGCUA
rnacentral:misc_RNA from 1 species